rnacentral:tRNA from 1 species
UGGCUUCUUAGAAGACGUAUUCCAGCCGGGUCAUCAUCCCGGCGACCUGGUGAUAGGUGUUGUGGCAGUGCAGCUGCCACACGCCGG